UUCCUUUAUAUUUGGUGACUGAAGAUGAAAACCUCAUAUCAGUGGAGCUGCCUAUGUGGCUUUGCUGAGCUGACUCUGAAAUGUCUAAUGAGUUAAAACAUGAUUGUUGUAUUCUUUGUGAUUUUCUUGGCAACCACAAGAAAUUUACAAAUUUCUUGAACAUUAAAAAAGGAAAAAAAAUGCUUUAUGUCAUCUGGGUUCGUGUAAAGUUGUUUUGUAUUUUGUAUUUCUAAGCUUGGAUUUAAUAUUUUUGCACUUGCCGUAAUUUGGAAUUUGAAGUAGGUUUAACUAUUGGAUUGUUAGCUUGAUCUCCAACUGUAGUGUUCAUAAUUCCUUUGUUUUAUUCAAUUGGUAUGGCAACUGUUCGACAUAAUGCGUGAGCAAAAGCUAUUGAAAUAAAAAAAGAGUUUUUCUUAUCUCGUAUUUCUACGUGUGUGUUUCAUAAUUUCGUUAAAUUUUUUGUUUGGCUUCUUUGAUAGUUGCUUUGGAUUUGAGGUGAUAUACUCUGACAAUGGCAAGUGAAGAUGAUGAGUUAAAAAAGAAACAAAUAAUGGAUGCUAAGGCAAGAAACAUUAGUCGCAAUGUCCGGUGCACCGAGUGUGGCAGUCAAUCCAUUGAAGAUUCACAAGCGAUAUCGCAGUUCUCCUGAGGAAGGAAGAAGUUGAGAUAGAGACGAAGGUUAUGGGGGACAGGGAAACGCUUGCGUCUGUGCAGGUUGAAGUCAGGGCCUCCCUUGAUUUAAAAUUUUGCUUUUAUUCCACCGCUGAUUAGCUACAGGAACACUUUCUUACUGUAUUUAUAAAUGGCAGAAAGAAGGUGAGAUAGUGGCAAAGGUUGUGGGGAAGAAAGGAAACCGCCUAUCGAUAUUAAUUGCAAGGACGAACUGCUCAGUAAGCCACCCUAUGGAUUAAGAUCUUUACUCAUACUGGCCUUCCUCUUCCUGAUGAAAUUCAUUGAUAUUUGGAGCCACGGUCAAAAGCCACCUGAGACCUUGGUGUCUUCAUCCUUCUUUGGUGAUGAUAAAUUUUGAUCACUUUGUAUGUUCUUCCCUUUCUCUCUAAUCUUCUCUUCCUCUUCACUCUCUUUCGCCCCUUUUCUUUUAUCUCUUAAACUUCCAUCGGGUUUCUGCUCGACUAAUUGGGUUGAGCGACCUUCAGAAACUGGCGGUCCCAAGGUUACGCACUUGCAAAGGCUACGGUCAAUAAGAUUGUUCAUGAAAUCGAAAAGCCUCUGGCAAACGCCAAGAGGAUUGGGAGUGUUCUUCUUCUCAUGCAUUGCUCCUGAAAACUUGCCGGCAGAGGUGAAAAACAGGUUGUAUUUUGAAUUGAAUUAAGGCAUGAUUGGAUUGGAAUU